GACGAACCGUGCGAACGUUGUUCGGAAUCACUGGGCUUAAAGGGCGCGUAGGCGGGCUUCCAAGUCGGUGGUGAAAUCUUUCGGCUCAACCGGAAAACAGCCGCCGAUACUGGGAGUCUCGAGGGAGGUAGGGGUCGAUGGAACUUCAGGUGGAGCGGUGAAAUGCGUAGAUAUCUGAAGGAACGCCGGUGGCGAAAGCGGCGCACUGGACCACAACUGACGCUGAGGCGCGAAAGCUAGGGGAGCAAACAGG
rnacentral:rRNA from 1 species